rnacentral:rRNA from 1 species
UCAGGAUGAACGCUAGCGACAGGCUUAACACAUGCAAGUCGAGGGCAGCACGGAGUAGCAAUACAACGUGGUGGCGACCGGCGCACGGGUGAGUAACGCGUAUGCAACCUACCUAUCAGAGGGGAAUAACCCGGCGAAGUAAACGGCUAAUACCGCAUAAAACAGGGGCACCGCAUGGUGAUAUUUGUUAAAGAGAUUCGCUGAUAGAUGGGCAUGCGUUCCAUUAGGUAGUUGGUGAGGUAACGGCUCACCAAGCCGACGAUGGAUAGGGGAACUGAGAGGUUGGUCCCCCACACUGGUACUGAGACACGGACCAGACUCCUACGGGAGGCAGCAGUGAGGAAUAUUGGUCAAUGGGCGGGAGCCUGAACCAGCCAAGUCGCGUGAAGGAAGAAGGAUCUAUGGUUCGUAAACUUCUUUUGCAGGGGAAUAAAGUGCAGGACGUGUCCUGUUUUGUAUGUACCCUGAGAAUAAGGAUCGGCUAACUCCGUGCCAGCCGCCGC